rnacentral:rRNA from 1 species
CCUACGGGAGGCAGCAGUGGGGAAUCUUGCGCAAUGGGGGGAACCCUGACGCAGCGACGCCGCGUGCGGGAUGGAGGCCUUCGGGUCGUGAACCGCUUUCAGCAGGGACGAGACUGACGGUACCUGCAGAAGAAGCCCCGGCUAACUACGUGCCAGCAGCCGCGGUAAUACGUAGGGGGCGAGCGUUAUCCGGAUUCAUUGGGCGUAAAGCGCGCGUAGGCGGCCGCGCAGGCGGGGGGUCAAAUCCCGGGGCUCAACCCCGGGCCGCCCCCCGAACCGCGCGGCUUGGGUCCGGCAGGGGAGGGUGGAACGCCCGGUGUAGCGGUGGAAUGCGCAGAUAUCGGGCGGAACACCGGUGGCGAAGGCGGCCCUCUGGGCCGGCACCGACGCUGAGGCGCGAGAGCCGGGGGAGCGAACAGGAUUAGAUACCCUGGUAGUCC